GUUGUAGCUCAGUGGUUGAGAGCUUGCCUAGCAUGUAUGUGGCCCUGGGUUCCAUCCCCAGCACCACA
rnacentral:tRNA from 1 species